rnacentral:rRNA from 1 species
AGCGAACGCUGGCGGCAGGCUUAACACAUGCAAGUCGAGCGGGCACUUCGGUGUCAGCGGCAGACGGGUGAGUAACACGUGGGAACGUGCCCUUCGGUUCGGAAUAACUUAGGGAAACUUGAGCUAAUACCGGAUACGCCCUUUUGGGGAAAGGUUGACCGCCGAAGGAUCGGCCCGCGUCUGAUAGCUUGUUGGUGGGAUAACGGCCUACCAAGGCGACGAUCAGUAGCUGGUCUGAGAGGAUGAUCAGCCACACUGGGACUGAGACACGGCCCAGACUCCUACGGGAGGCAGCAGUGGGGAAUAUUGGACAAUGGGCGCAAGCCUGAUCCAGCCAUGCCGCGUGAGUGAUGAAGGCCUUAGGGUUGUAAAGCUCUUUUGUCCGGGACGAUAAUGACGGUACCGGAAGAAUAAGCCCCGGCUAACUUCGUGCCAGCAGCCGCCGUAAAAC